rnacentral:rRNA from 1 species
GUUCAGGGGUAAACCUGAGAAACCCGAAAGGUCGAAAGAGGAAAUUCAUUCGCGUCUCGACUGUCGAAGUUGAACGUUUGCAAGACGGAUAUUGCUUCGGCAUCGUCCGCUCUUACGUUCAUCGUGUCGAUGUCGAACGCGUGCACUUUUCCUCUAGUAGGACGUCGCGAUCCGUUGGGUGUCUGUCUAAGACUCGAGGUGGAGCCCGCGUAAUUUUUAAUUAUGCGGACCCUCGGUGUUCCGACAGACUCGCUCGACGGUAUACUAAUGGCGCGGGGCCGCUACAUAAGUUAGCGUUCGGCCCGUAUCAAGCACGUUCUGUGUUUGACGGCGAUCGGACCUGGUGCCGAUUCUGUCCCAGAACGACUGUUGGUUACGGUGUUCUCGAACAGACCUCGUAUGAAACGCCGAUCGGCGACGCUCUAGAUUUGGGUACUUUCAGGACCCGUCUUGAAACACGGACCAAGGAGUCUAGCAUGUGCGCGAGUCAUUGGGAUAUAACUAAACCUAAAGGCGUAAUGAAAGUAAAGGUUUACCUUGCGUAGACCGAGGGAGGAUAARCGGUUUG